rnacentral:rRNA from 1 species
GUCUACGGCCAUACCACCCUGAACGUGCCCGAUCUCGUCUGAUCUUGGAAGCUAAGCAGGGUCGGGCCUGGUUAGUACUUGGAUGGGAGAAAUUGUAGAAAUCUGCUUACUACC